rnacentral:tRNA from 1 species
GGCUGGGUAGCAAAGUGGUUAUGCAGGGGCCUGCAAAGCCUUAGACGCCGGUUCGAGUCCGGCCUCAGCCUCCA